rnacentral:tRNA from 1 species
UCCAGCAUGGUACAGUGGUUUGAGUGUUGGACUAUGACUCUGAAGACCAGGGUUUGAUUCCCACUGGGGGAC